rnacentral:rRNA from 1 species
AGGGGGUUUGAUCAUGGGCUCAGAACGAACGCUGGCGGCGUGGAUAAGACAUGCAAGUCGAACGGGAAUUUUGAAAAGCUUGCUUUUUAAAAUUCUAGUGGCGGACGGGUGCGUAACACGUGAGCAACCUGCCCAAAAGAGGGGGAUAGCCCGAGGAAACUCGGAUUAAUACCGCGUAUGGUACGGAAAGGCAUCUUUCCAGUAUUAAAGGUGGGGAUCACUUCGGUGACCUGCCGCUUUUGGAUGGGCUCGCGGCCUAUCAGCUUGUUGGUGAGGUAACGGCUCACCAAGGCUACGACGGGUAACUGGUCUGAGAGGACGAUCAGUCACACUGGAACUGAGACACGGUCCAGACACCUACGGGUGGCAGCAGUCGAGAAUCAUUCGCAAUGGGGGAAACCCUGACGGUGCGACGCCGCGUGGAGGAUGAAGGCCCUAGGGUCGUAAACUCCUGUCAUUAGAGAGUAAUGCUUUCCAAUUAAUAGUUGGAAAGUUUGAUAGUAUCUGAAGAGGAAGGGACGGCUAACUUCGUGCCAGCAGCCGCGGUAAUACGAAGGUCCCAAGCGUUGUUUCGGAUUUACUGGGCGUAAAGCGUGCGUAGGCGGCGAGGUAAGUCAGAUGUGAAAUCCCGGGGCUCAACCCCGGAACUGCAUCCGAUACUGCCUUGCUAGAGUAAUGGAGGGGCAUCUGGAAUUCAUGGUGUAGCAGUGAAAUGCGUAGAUAUCAUGAGGAACACUAGUGGCGAAGGCGAGAUGCUGGACAUUU